AUUGCCUCAGUAACGGCGAGUGAAGCGGCAACAGCUCAAAUUUGAAAUCUGACUUCGGUCCGAGUUGUAAUUUGCAGAGGAAGUCUCGGGUGCGAUAACCGGUCUAAGUUCCUUGGAACAGGACGUCAUAGAGGGUGAGAAUCCCGUAUGCGACUGGUGGUCAACCCCAUGUGAGGCCCCUUCGACGAGUCGAGUUGUUUGGGAAUGCAGCUCAAAAUGGGUGGUAAAUUUCAUCUAAAGCUAAAUACCGGCCAGAGACCGAUAGCGCACAAGUAGAGUGAUCGAAAGAUGAAAAGCACUUUGGAAAGAGAGUUAAAAAGUACGUGAAAUUGUUGAAAGGGAAGCGCUUGCAACCAGACUUGCCCGCGGGUGAUCCACCGUCCUUUGGGACGGUCUAUUCUCCCGUGAUCAGGCCAACAUCGGUUUUGGCGGCUGGAUACAGGCCCCGGGAAUGUGGCUCUCUUCGGGGAGUGUUAUAGCCCGGGGUGCAAUGCGGCCAGCUGGGACCGAGGACCGCGCUUCGGCUAGGAUGUUGGCGUAAUGGUUGUCAGCGACCCGUCUUGAAACACGGACCAAGGAGUCUAACAUCUAUGCGAGUGUUUGGGUGUCAAACCCAUACGCGAAAUGAAAGUGAACGGAGGUGGGAACCCCCCGGGGCGCACCAUCGACCGAUCCUGAUGUCUUCGGAUGGAUUUGAGUAUGAGCAUAGCUGUUGGGACCCGAAAGAUGGUGAACUAUGCCUGAAUAGGGUGAAGCCAGAGGAAACUCUGGUGGAGGCUCGCAGCGGUUCUGACGUGCAAAUCGAUCGUCAAAUUUGGGUAUAGGGGCGAAAGACGUAAGUGACACCUUUGAUGUUGUUGAACGAGAAAUUUAGCUAUACAUGUGAAAAUAGUAAUCGAACCAUCUAAUAGCUGG
rnacentral:rRNA from 1 species